rnacentral:rRNA from 1 species
UACGAAGGGGGCUAGCGUUGCUCGGAGUCACUGGGCGUAAAGCGCACGUAGGCGGCUUCUUAAGUCAGGGGUGAAAUCCUGGAGCUCAACUCCAGAACUGCCUUUGAUACUGAGGAGCUUGAGUCCGGGAGAGGUGAGUGGAACUGCGAGUGUAGAGGUGAAAUUCGUAGAUAUUCGCAAGAACACCAGUGGCGAAGGCGGCUCACUGGCCCGGUACUGACGCUGAGGUGCGAAAGCGUGGGGAGCAAACAGG